AUAUGAACCUUCACUUGCAACGAAGCCGGGUAACUUGAACAAGAUAAUAAGCAUCAAAGUCCCCGCUGCUGACGUCAAAAGCAGUAAUGAAGAGUGUCAUUCUAGUGCUUGGCCUGGCGACUCUGUUGUUCAUCGGCAGCGUCAACAGCCUAUACGACAGCAGGGGAGAUGAAGAUGAAACCGAUGGUGAAGAUGGUAGGAGCGAGUUUCAGGGAGGUAUGGGCGGAAGAAUGGGAGAUACUGAAGGUUUUGGUGGGAGUCACGGACGCUUGAACAACAUGGUUGGCCAUAGACAUGAGGGUAUGGGCGGUAGAAUGGGAGAUACUGAAGGUUUUGGUGGGGGUCACGGACGCUUUAGCAACAUGGUUGGCCAUAGACAUGAGGGUAUGGGAGGUGUUGGCGGAAGAAUGGGAGAUACUGAAGGUUUUGGUGGGAGUCACGGCCGCUUUAGCAACAUGGUUGGCCAUAGACAUGAGGGUAUGGGAGGUAUGGGCGGUAGUAUGGGAGGUAGGGGUG